rnacentral:tRNA from 1 species
GCGGAUAUGAUGGAAUUGGCAGACAUGCUAGACUUAGGAUCUAGUGAUUAUUAUCUUGGGGGUUCAAGUCCCUCUAUCCGUA